rnacentral:rRNA from 1 species
UACGGGGGGGGCAAGCGUUGUCCGGAAUUAUUGGGCGUAAAGGGCUCGUAGGCGGUCUGUCACGUCAGGAGUGAAAACUCGGGGCUCAACCCCGAGCCUGCUUCUGAUACGGGCAGACUGGAGGUAUGCAGGGGAGAACGGAAUUCCUGGUGUAGCGGUGAAAUGCGCAGAUAUCAGGAGGAACACCGGUGGCGAAGGCGGUUCUCUGGGCAUUACCUGACGCUGAGGAGCGAAAGUGUGGGGAG